GAUGCCGGCCCCGAACAAACCGAAAUUGGCCAGCAGCCCGAUAAGGGCGAUGACGACGGCGAUCCAGAAGACAAUCUGGGUGGGUGGAUUCAGUUUCAUUUUGAAUCUCCUGAGAGAAAGGGUGAUUCUCCGGGCUCCUGAACUGCGGGCAUCAAUCGCAAAUGCCAGCUCGGGCUCGCCAAAGGGACCGGAGAUCGGCCGGACCCUAGAGACCGGGGACCGUCACGCCGAGGGCGAGAACAACGAACGCGAUCACAAUUCCCCAAAAGGCAAGAGUGGCCAUCCCGCCUACGAAGGACAGGAUGAGCGACAGGACGGCGAGCGCAACCGUGAUGUAGAAAACGAGGUUGGUGGGGAUCUUAAGCU
rnacentral:misc_RNA from 1 species